AUUGAACGCUGGCGGCAGGCUUAACACAUGCAAGUCGAACGAAGUGGCGAACGGGUGAGUAACGCGUAAUCAACCUGCCCUUCAGAGGGGGACAACAGUUGGAAACGACUGCUAAUACCGCAUACUGAAGGAGGGGAUUGCGUCUGAUUAGCUAGUUGGAGGGGUAACGGCCCACCAAGGCGAUGAUCAGUAGCCGGUCUGAGAGGAGGGACGGCGAGAUUGGGACUGAGAAACGGACCAGACUCCUACGGGAGGCAACAGGGGGGAAGCUUCCGCAAUGGACGAAAGUCUGACGGAGCAACGCCGAGGGAGUGAUGACGGGCUUCGGGUUGGAAAGAUCUGUUGAUCGGGACGCGGUAACGGAAGAGAAAGAUACGGAUAACUAAGUGCAAGCAGCCGCGGUAAUAC
rnacentral:rRNA from 1 species